GCCAGCAGCCAUAUCCCCUGCAGCUCAUAGCUGGCAGCCCACUGUUGCUAAGCAGGGUUGAGCCUGGCCAGUACCUGGAUGGGAGACCUCCUGGGAAGCUACAGUAUGGUUGCUGCUGGAA
rnacentral:rRNA from 1 species